UGGGCCACUGAGUACGCUCUACACCCUUUGUGACAUACCUAUAACUGUUGCUUCGGCGGGUAGGGUCUCCGUGACCCUCCCGGCCUCCCGCCCCCGGGCGGGUCGGCGCCCGCCGGAGGAUAACCAAACUCUGAUUUAACGACGUUUCUUCUGAGUGGUACAAGCAAAUAAUCAAAACUUUUAACAACGGAUCUCUUGGUUCUGGCAUCGAUGAAGAACGCAGCGAAAUGCGAUAAGUAAUGUGAAUUGCAGAAUUCAGUGAAUCAUCGAAUCUUUGAACGCACAUUGCGCCCGCCAGCAUUCUGGCGGGCAUGCCUGUUCGAGCGUCAUUUCAACCCUCAAGCUCUGCUUGGUGUUGGGGCCCUACAGCCGAUGUAGGCCCUCAAAGGUAGUGGCGGACCCUCCCGGAGCCUCCUUUGCGUAGUAACUUUACGUCUCGCACUGGGAUCCGGAGGGACUCUUGCCGUAAAACCCCCCAAUUUUCCAAAGGUUGACCUCGGAUCAGGUAGGAAUACCCGCUGAACUUAAGCAUAUCAUAGGCCGGGAGGAA
rnacentral:rRNA from 1 species